GUCUCUCCGCGUCUCUGCAGCAGAAGGCGGCUGUGGGUUUGCACUGAGAAGGGACGCACGGUGCUGCUCGGUGCGCUGGCCGGAGAAGCUGGACCUGGGGAAGGUGCGGCCCGGGCUCUGCCCCCUGGGACCCGGGAAGGUGUGGCCCGGGCUCUGCCCCCUGGGACCCGGGAAGGUGCGGCCCGGGCUCUGCCCCCUGGGACCCGGGAAGGUGUGGCCCGGGCUCUGCCCGCUGGGACCCGGGAAGGUGUGGCCCAGGCUCUGCCCCCUGGGACCUCAGCCGCUGCUCUUCGGCGAUGGAAACUUACAAACAUUUCAGUCAUCUUUCUGAGGAGGAUUUGGUCAUCUGGCAAGUGUGGUCCCAGAAUUUGCCAGAAGCAUGUAUCAACUGCAGCCCAGGGUGUGGAAGCAGACAGGCCUAGUGCAGAUUACACGCCUAAGAAUCUAGGAAAAGAAAUGCGAGACUCGGGCCCGGGGCUCUGCCGGGGGACAGAGGUCGGUGUCCGCCCCCAGGGGGGUGCAGGUUAACCCAGAGGUUAGAGGAGGCUGCACACAGCCAGGCCCAGCUUCUGGAGAACCUGGCCCGCGGCGGGGGCGAGGGGGGGACCCCCCGGCAUCUCCAACCUCUCCUUCAGGCCCGAACACUCGCCCCUUCUUCCUGGAAGGCCAGGAGCCAGGACGGAGUGACUCUAGCUCGUCGCCAGAGGCCGGUGAGCACGAACUCCUCCAAAGGCUUCUUGCCACCCCUGCCAGCUUGGAUCAUGGGACAGCUAGCGAGUUGACUGUGCUUUGAAGAAAGCUUGUUCCACAAAGCCGAGGUGGCUCACGAGGAAGAACCUGGACCCCCAGGCUGCGAAGUAACAGACAGCGUUUGCGGAAAACUUGGAAAAACGAGGAAAAGCGGGAGGAACCGUGAGCAGGGGUGGGGGGAUGGGGGUGCUGCGUCGACGUUUCGGUCCUGAGACGCACACACCUGAACGCCCACCCGGCGCCCGUGACCUGCCCACCGUGUGACCUUUCCCUUCCCCUUACUAAACACGUGUCUACGCCACGCAAUUCGCUGACCGGCCGGCGGGCGGCGCCCGGAUCGACCACGGCUCCCUCGGGCAGCCUCCCAGGACGCGCGCGCAUGUCACUGCCGUGGCCAGAGCUGACGUGGGUCUCGGUGGCUCGGCCGAUGCGCCGGGACUCCGCGGGGCUGCUGCCCUCGGAGGCCGAGUCCUGUUUUUACGUCUCCUGCUGUCAGAAUCUCCUCUGAAGGGUUUCACGCCUGCUCUGGGCGCUCGCAGAGCUGCUCACUGCUUCCCCGGCUCAGGGCUUCAUCGCUGUAUUUUUACAAGUCAAUUAAAAAUAGUGCCCUCCUGUUUA